GGGUUGUGAGGUUAAGCGACUAAGCGUACACGGUGGAUGCCCUGGCAGUCAGAGGCGAUGAAGGACGUGCUAAUCUGCGAUAAGCGUCGGUAAGGUGAUAUGAACCGUUAUAACCGGCGAUUUCCGAAUGGGGAAACCCAGUGUGAUUCGUCACACUAUCAUUAACUGAAUCCAUAGGUUAAUGAGGCGAACCGGGGGAACUGAAACAUCUAAGUACCCCGAGGAAAAGAAAUCAACCGAGAUUCCCCCAGUAGCGGCGAGCGAACGGGGAGGAGCCCAGAGCCUGAAUCAGUGUGUGUGUUAGUGGAAGCGUCUGGAAAGGCGCGCGAUACAGGGUGACAGCCCCGUACACAAAAAUGCACAUACUGUGAGCUCGAUGAGUAGGGCGGGACACGUGGUAUCCUGUCUGAAUAUGGGGGGACCAUCCUCCAAGGCUAAAUACUCCUGACUGACCGAUAGUGAACCAGUACCGUGAGGGAAAGGCGAAAAGAACCCCGGCGAGGGGAGUGAAAAAGAACCUGAAACCGUGUACGUACAAGCAGUGGGAGCCUCUUUUAUGGGGUGACUGCGUACCUUUUGUAUAAUGGGUCAGCGACUUAUAUUCUGUAGCAAGGUUAACCGAAUAGGGGAGCCGAAGGGAAACCGAGUCUUAACCGGGCGUUAAGUUGCAGGGUAUAGACCCGAAACCCGGUGAUCUAGCCAUGGGCAGGUUGAAGGUUGGGUAACACUAACUGGAGGACCGAACCGACUAAUGUUGAAAAAUUAGCGGAUGACUUGUGGCUGGGGGUGAAAGGCCAAUCAAACCGGGAGAUAGCUGGUUCUCCCCGAAAGCUAUUUAGGUAGCGCCUCGUGAAUUCAUCUCCGGGGGUAGAGCACUGUUUCGGCAAGGGGGUCAUCCCGACUUACCAACCCGAUGCAAACUGCGAAUACCGGAGAAUGUUAUCACGGGAGACACACGGCGGGUGCUAACGUCCGUCGUGAAGAGGGAAACAACCCAGACCGCCAGCUAAGGUCCCAAAGUCAUGGUUAAGUGGGAAACGAUGUGGGAAGGCCCAGACAGCCAGGAUGUUGGCUUAGAAGCAGCCAUCAUUUAAAGAAAGCGUAAUAGCUCACUGGUCGAGUCGGCCUGCGCGGAAGAUGUAACGGGGCUAAACCAUGCACCGAAGCUGCGGCAGCGACACUGUGUGUUGUUGGGUAGGGGAGCGUUCUGUAAGCCUGUGAAGGUGUACUGUAAGGUAUGCUGGAGGUAUCAGAAGUGCGAAUGCUGACAUAAGUAACGAUAAAGCGGGUGAAAAGCCCGCUCGCCGGAAGACCAAGGGUUCCUGUCCAACGUUAAUCGGGGCAGGGUGAGUCGACCCCUAAGGCGAGGCCGAAAGGCGUAGUCGAUGGGAAACAGGUUAAUAUUCCUGUACUUGGUGUUACUGCGAAGGGGGGACGGAGAAGGCUAUGUUGGCCGGGCGACGGUUGUCCCGGUUUAAGCGUGUAGGCUGGUUUUCCAGGCAAAUCCGGAAAAUCAAGGCUGAGGCGUGAUGACGAGGCACUACGGUGCUGAAGCAACAAAUGCCCUGCUUCCAGGAAAAGCCUCUAAGCAUCAGGUAACAUCAAAUCGUACCCCAAACCGACACAGGUGGUCAGGUAGAGAAUACCAAGGCGCUUGAGAGAACUCGGGUGAAGGAACUAGGCAAAAUGGUGCCGUAACUUCGGGAGAAGGCACGCUGAUAUGUAGGUGAAGUCCCUCGCGGAUGGAGCUGAAAUCAGUCGAAGAUACCAGCUGGCUGCAACUGUUUAUUAAAAACACAGCACUGUGCAAACACGAAAGUGGACGUAUACGGUGUGACGCCUGCCCGGUGCCGGAAGGUUAAUUGAUGGGGUCAGCGCAAGCGAAGCUCUUGAUCGAAGCCCCGGUAAACGGCGGCCGUAACUAUAACGGUCCUAAGGUAGCGAAAUUCCUUGUCGGGUAAGUUCCGACCUGCACGAAUGGCGUAAUGAUGGCCAGGCUGUCUCCACCCGAGACUCAGUGAAAUUGAACUCGCUGUGAAGAUGCAGUGUACCCGCGGCAAGACGGAAAGACCCCGUGAACCUUUACUAUAGCUUGACACUGAACAUUGAGCCUUGAUGUGUAGGAUAGGUGGGAGGCUUUGAAGUGUGGACGCCAGUCUGCAUGGAGCCGACCUUGAAAUACCACCCUUUAAUGUUUGAUGUUCUAACGUGGACCCGUGAUCCGGGUUGCGGACAGUGUCUGGUGGGUAGUUUGACUGGGGCGGUCUCCUCCUAAAGAGUAACGGAGGAGCACGAAGGUUGGCUAAUCCUGGUCGGACAUCAGGAGGUUAGUGCAAUGGCAUAAGCCAGCUUGACUGCGAGCGUGACGGCGCGAGCAGGUGCGAAAGCAGGUCAUAGUGAUCCGGUGGUUCUGAAUGGAAGGGCCAUCGCUCAACGGAUAAAAGGUACUCCGGGGAUAACAGGCUGAUACCGCCCAAGAGUUCAUAUCGACGGCGGUGUUUGGCACCUCGAUGUCGGCUCAUCACAUCCUGGGGCUGAAGUAGGUCCCAAGGGUAUGGCUGUUCGCCAUUUAAAGUGGUACGCGAGCUGGGUUUAGAACGUCGUGAGACAGUUCGGUCCCUAUCUGCCGUGGGCGCUGGAGAACUGAGGGGGGCUGCUCCUAGUACGAGAGGACCGGAGUGGACGCAUCACUGGUGUUCGGGUUGUCAUGCCAAUGGCACUGCCCGGUAGCUAAAUGCGGAAGAGAUAAGUGCUGAAAGCAUCUAAGCACGAAACUUGCCCCGAGAUGAGUUCUCCCUGACCCUUUAAGGGUCCUGAAGGAACGUUGAAGACGACGACGUUGAUAGGCCGGGUGUGUAAGCGCAGCGAUGCGUUGAGCUAACCGGUACUAAUGAACCGUGAGGCUUAACCUUACAACGCCGAAGGUGUUU
rnacentral:rRNA from 1 species